rnacentral:lncRNA from 13 species
AUGUCUCUCCCGCUGGUCUCGUCUGCAGGACUCCGUCUCUCCAGCUCACUUCUCCACAGCUGCGCUUGCCUUGCUGUAAUUGCUGGAACCCACCAGCCUGCUUCGUUACUAGAACGUCCCACAUGCUCCACCCCUGCGUCCUCCACACCUGCUAACUGCCUCCUUCUGCUUCCGGUUUGUAGAAACGUCACUUCCUCAGGGACACCUUCCUUGCCCCCUCCCCAGGCUGUGACUAUGGCUACACACACACAGAGCACCUUGCACUUUUCCUGCUUAACGUCGUGCCUCUAUUGGAGCUACUAACCAAAAAAUAAAAAGAAACUGGAACCAGAGAGGAUCAGUUUUAUAAAUGCCAAUUCAGAAAGGUGAGCCAAGCAGGAGAAAAGAAAGAAAGAGGGGAGACCAAGAUCAGAACUUGGCCAACUCCUGAUUCUCCAAGCAGGGGACAGCACAGCAUGAAGGUCCUCACAAGAUGCUGGUGCCAUGCUUUUGGACUUCCCAGUCUCCAGAACUGCGGAAAGCUACAUCAGUCUCCUGAAGGACCUGAGGUCCAGGAAUAUUGGGAACAGUGGUGCUGAAAAUUCUAGCAAUUGUUAUCUCGAUUCCCAUCACGACAGACCUAGAAUCUACCUCCUACUACAUUCUAGAGUCACUCUCAGAUGCACUUACAAGGGUCCUGAACAGAGCGAGUAUCUUUUGGAACAUUUUUGCACUGGUGAAAAGUUGUUCUGCUUUCGUAGGGCUUUGUGCCAUGAAGUCAGUGAAUAUGCCAAUCCACUGUGCCUGGUUCAGCAGCAGGGGUUGUCUGCUCCCACAGUACCUGCUGAGCAUGCGUCAAUCCUCUUUCAGUUGAAUAUAAUUCUUAGCCACAUUAUCUUGUCUAAUAGAAGCAAAAAGCAACCAGAAAGAUUUCCUGAGGAAUUGCUGGCACAUGCAAAUGGAAACUGCUCAUUUUAA